CCCAAAUAAACUGAUUUCAAACCAAGAUAAGAAACCUAGAUUUCAAUCAACGAUCUAAACUUCUCAACGCCGACAGGAAUCCACCAAAAGGAAAGAGGCCAAAGAAUUCCCACGACGCAGAGGGCUUCCGGAGAACUUCCCAAUCCAGAUCAAUCACAAACCACCGACAGAUCUCGACGCCACAAGAAGAAUCAGAACCACAGAUCAGCACCAAUCCACGCGUCAGCCGAGAGAGAGAGAGAGAUGGAAACAGGCAGAUCAGGACUCCACCGACAAGGCGAGUCCCCGAAAUCUCCAAGCGCCCUCUGGAUCCGGACGGCCGAUCCUAUCGGCAAGUGGAAGUGUUGUACUACCACUCUACGACCCUCUCCGAGCCUCUACGGCCAAAAGCUCCC
rnacentral:lncRNA from 1 species